UUUGGUUUUUAUUUAACAUAA
ensembl:piRNA 21ur-2507 ncRNA